rnacentral:rRNA from 1 species
GACGUAGGGGGCCAGCGUUGUUCGGAAUUACUGGGUGUAAAGGGUUCGUAGGCGGUGCGGCAAGUCGGGUGUGAAAUCUCUGGGCUUAACCCAGAGGCUGCUUCCGAAACUGCUGUGCUUGAGUGUGGGAGAGGCGCGUGGAAUUGCAGGUGUAGCGGUGAAAUGCGUAGAUAUCUGCAGGAACACCCGUGGCGAAAGCGGCGCGCUGGACCAGUACUGACGCUGAGUGAACGAAAGCUAGGGGAGCAAACAGG